GUGCCUCGCUUCAGCAACACAGACCCCAAAUGUGGAGCGAUUCAGAGAAGAUUCGCAUGGCCCCGGGCGAGGAUGACCCAUAAAAUCAUGAAGGCACUUCAAAAGCA
rnacentral:snRNA from 1 species